UACGGAGGGAGCUAGCGUUGUUCGGAAAUACUGGGCGUAAAGCGAACGUAGGCGGCUACGUAAGUCAGGGGUGAAAUCCCGGGGCUCAACCCCGGAACUGCCUUUGAAACUGCAUAGCUAGAAUCCUGGAGAGGUCAGUGGAAUUCCGAGUGUAGAGGUGAAAUUCGUAGAUAUUCGGAAGAACACCAGUGGCGAAGGCGACUGGCUGGACAGGUAUUGACGCUGAGGUUCGAAAGCGUGGGGAGCAAACAGG
rnacentral:rRNA from 1 species